UCAAUAUAUCUAUUUUGGAGGACACAAUUCAGCCAAAAACCAUAGCCUACCUUGAUGUUUAAAUAUUUUCUCAACUUACAACAAAGACUACUCUCUCUUGUUCUGUGGGUCGGCAUGUGGAAGUUCUGUAACUAGAGCAAUAACAAGAUUCAAACAAAUGGCAAAGCAAAGCGGCUGGAUAGGUUAAACAGUGGUGGGGCUUUAGAAACUUCUGCUUGGCCACUUCCCCUUGCGCAGGCCUGCUCAACCUCCUCUUCCGGUUUCCCUGAAAGAAGUGGGAAUCUGAUUUGGACUUUGAGCCGAGGUUUCUCUUUUCUAAGCUCUCCUCCAGCACAGGGACUCAUCUGAGCUGCCCUCCCUUUCUGUAAUAGUGGCUCUCACCCGGGAUAAAAACUUACCCUCACCACUGACGGAGGGGGAAGUGCUGGAAAAUGUGUCAACACAGGUACUGUUGGUUGCCCAAUAGCAAUUCACACUCAUUAUUGUACAGUCAUGAUAUAAGACUGAAAGUGACAUUUAAGUGUUUUGAGAUCCUAAGAUGAAAAGUAAUUGAAAAGAGUAGUUGUUGGGAUUGGAUUGUCAUAGCAUUUUCUUUAUUCAAUCAGAGCAUAUUUGGGUUAAUGAACAUCUUAGUUUCUCCUAAUUUUCUGGAUAAUAGUCAUAACAAACCCAAUACAGUUCUCGUCCUCCAGGGCUUACACAUUGACGCGAUUAAUCACCUUUCAUUUCCAUAGCUCUUCUCCUGCCCCAGCCAAUUCUCAUGUCAGCCUCCUAAGUCAGCGCAACACGUAUGAAGAGCACGUGAGAAAAAUGACGAGGUUCAAAGAGUGGGGGGCCCCCCAGGUGGUCUCUGGGGGCACCAGGGCCGGGGGCUCCAGCCCGUGGCUCCCCUCCCUUCAGUUGCGGCCAGCUCCUUGCACAAACUGGUGGUACACUACAUGUGGAUUUCAUUUACGGGUUGGACUAGUUUCCAGCGUCUUGUUUGAAUGUUCUGUUUCUUAUUUUUAUUUUCCAGUUUUUCUAGUUGGGUAAGGCUGGGUAGAUCAGAUGGAUCAGAGGAGCUAUCUCUCACCUGUCCCACUCUGACUACAAAUCUUCCCUCGCAGAUUUAGAAGAGGAGAAUGGCGUUCUCACACAAUACAGAACUCCAGUGAUGGGUCUGAGAAGGUCUUAAAAAGCAAUUAUUCUCUACGUGGUCAUUAUUCUCUAACAACUCAACAGAGACCAAGCUAAAGUUUACGUCUGUUAAAACAAUUUUUUUCUAAUAAAGUAUAAAUCGUGUAAAAAAAAA